rnacentral:rRNA from 1 species
GACAGAGGGUGCAAGCGUUGUUCGGAUUGACUGGGCGUAAAGGGCGUGUAGGCGGUCAGGUAAGUCCGAUGUGAAAUCAUCAUCGCUCAACGAGAUGUCCGCAUCGGAAACUGUUUGACUUGAGUAUAGGAGAGGAAAGCGGAAUUCCUGGUGUAGCGGUGAAAUGUGUAGAUAUCAGGAGGAACACCUGUGGCGAAGGCGGCUUUCUGGCCUAAUACUGACGCUGAGGCGCGAAAGCUAGGGGAGCAAACGGG